rnacentral:rRNA from 1 species
AGUGAACGCUGGCGGUAGGCCUAACACAUGCAAGUCGAACGGCAGCACAGUAAGAGCUUGCGCUUACGGGUGGCGAGUGGCGGACGGGUGAGGAAUACAUCGGAAUCUACUUUUUCGUGGGGGAUAACGUAGGGAAACUUACGCUAAUACCGCAUACGACCUACGGGUGAAAGCAGGGGAUCUUCGGACCUUGCGCGAUUGAAUGAGCCGAUGUCGGAUUAGCUAGUUGGCGGGGUAAAGGCCCACCAAGGCGACGAUCCGUAGCUGGUCUGAGAGGAUGAUCAGCCACACUGGAACUGAGACACGGUCCAGGCUCCUACGGGAGGCAGCAGUGGGGAAUAUUGGACAAUGGGCGCAAGCCUUAUCCAGCCAUACCGCGUGGGUGAAGAAGGCCUUCGGGUUGUAAAGCCCUUUUGUUGGGAAAGAAAAGCAGCAGGUUAAUACCCCGCUGUUCUGACGGUACCCAAAGAAUAAGCACCGGCUAACUUCGUG